UACGGGGGGGGCAAGCGUUGUUCGGAAUUACUGGGCGUAAAGGGCGCGUAGGCGGCUUUUCAAGUCGGGCGUGAAAUCUCCAGGCUUAACCUGGAAGGGUCGUUCGAUACUGUUAAGCUAGAGUGUGGAAGAGGCUACUGGAAUUCCGUGUGUAGCGGUGAAAUGCGUAGAUAUCAAGAGGAACACCUGAGGUGAAGACGGGUUGCUGGGCCAACACUGACGCUGAUGCGCGAAAGCCAGGGGAGCAAACGGG
rnacentral:rRNA from 1 species